UAGGGAAUCUUCCACAAUGGACGCAAGUCUGAUGGAGCAACGCCGCGUGAGUGAAGAAAGUUUUCGGAUCGUAAAGCUCUGUUGUUGGUGAAGAAGGAUAGAGGCAGUAACUGGUCUUUAUUUGACGGUAAUCAACCAGAAAGUCACGGCUAACUACGUGCCAGCAGCCGCGGUAAUACGUAGGUGGCAAGCGUUGUCCGGAUUUAUUGGGCGUAAAGCGAGCGCAGGCGGAAUGAUAAGUCUGAUGUGAAAGCCCACGGCUCAACCGUGGAACUGCAUCGGAAACUGUCAUUCUUGAGUGCAGAAGAGGAGAGUGGAAUUCCAUGUGUAGCGGUGGAAUGCGUAGAUAUAUGGAAGAACACCAGUGGCGAAGGCGGCUCUCUGGUCUGCAACUGACGCUGAGGCUCGAAAGCAUGGGUAGCGAACAGG
rnacentral:rRNA from 1 species